CCGCCAUCACCUUGAAGACGGUGAAGAAGCUGCUGUUUCUUCACCUAAACGGAUGAAUUAUCAGCCUGGACUAGUCAUUUUCACACUAAAACAUUCCUUACAGAGUUUUACAGAUUACAGAUUCGGUAGAGUUAUAAAUAAAAAGUCUGUCUUGUGUCAGUAUUUGAGGUUUUAAAACUCUCGUCCUGCUGUAAGACCUGAGACCUGUUAUAAUGAGUUCAGCAGAAGCUGAGCAUCUACAACCAUAGAGACGACCUCAACAACACGCCUGAUGUUAUCUCCAUUAAAGAGGAAGAAGCUGACAAAGACUACCUCUUUAUACAGUAGAAGCCAGUGCCAGGAAUACAGAGAUGCCAAGAGAGAAAUGUAUGCUAAUUGAAUGAGGUACGUGAAUUAUGCACGUAAUGAUGAAGAGCAGAAUCUUGUGGCGUUUCAGUAUCGAGGUGGGAUUCUAUAUCGUUGCUGUCCACCCAUUAACCCGGGACAGGAGCUCUUGGUGGGGUAUGAAAAAGAGUAUGCAGAAAAUUCUGGCUCUACAUUUGACAUUCAUUCCUGAUUUUCCCAAGGUGUGUAAAUUAUGUUCAUAAUGACGCAAGUUCUCUUCUAAUAUCCCCCUGUAUUUUGCACCAUCCAUUCUCCUUUCAAUUUUGACAAGAAGCCCAUGUUCUGAGGAUGAAAAGCAUCUCGAGAGCAUGAUGCUGCCACCACCAUAAUUCACUGUAAAGAUGGCCUGCAUUAGGUUUGCACCACACAUAGUCCUUUGAAACUUGUCUCGAACACAUAUCCCAAUCUUGGUCUCAUCAUGCCAAAAAAAUUAUCUUUACUAGGUUACUCUCAUGCUUUCAUAUGGCACUUCUUGAACAACAGUUUCUUUCUAGCCACCCUUCCAUAGAGCCCUCAAUUAUACAGAGCUCUUGAAAUAGUCGUUUGGUGCCCCUUCACUCUACUCUCAGCCACUAUACACUGUAACUCUGUUAGAGUGACUUUUUGCCUCACUGUGGCUUCCCUCACCAGUCUCUGUCUUGUUUUCACACUGAGUUGUCUAGGUAAUGCUUGGGUGUUGUGAUGUAGCUUCCACUUCCUUGCUAUCCAUCUAACAGUGCUUACUGGGUUGUCCAUCCUCUUAGAAAUAGAGUGUAAAAUUAUAUCUAAGUUAUGAAAUUAUUACCUUAGUUUUAGUCUCUGUGGUCUUCAAUACACAGGCUAGGUGAAAAUUACACACAUGCAUUAGUGAACAAUGUAACUCCAUUUGGAAUAGAUCUUCCUUAGUCAUAGAAGCAAUAAAACUGAACUAAAUUUAUUGACGCUCACUAGAUUUUAAGUUUGGGAUCAUUAACACAUUGUUAACACACAAUGAUCCAUUUGAUUUGGCCUGUAUUUUAUGCACGCAUAAGCAUAUACAGUGGCAUGAAAAAGUAUUUGCCCUUUGUGAUUUCUCCUAAUUUGAAUAUUUGUGCCACAAAAUAGUUUUAGAUCCACAAUCAAGAGUCCUGACUUGAACCCUACUGAGAGGCUGUGGCAGCACCCUGACUAAGUCUCUAGUAAGCCGACCACUUCAGAUUCACCACUGUUCCAAUGUUCCACGCUUGUUUUGUCCACUUGGAGAUAAUGGCUCUCCUUUUGGAGAUAAUGUGGUUUGCUGGUGUCAAAGCCUUAAAAAUGUCUCUGUAACUCUUUCCGGACUGAUGGAUUUGAAUAACUGCUUUCUUCUCACGUCCCAAAUUCUUUUGAUCAUAGCAUAGUGUGCUGCAUGUUGAGAUCUUUUAGCCUACUUCACAUUGCUGGAAAGGUCCUAUUUAAGUGACAUGUAGAUUCAACAGGGCUGGCAAUAAUCUAUCCUGACCAUAUCUAGGCUAAUUGAGCCCAAUUAUCAAUUAAAUUUGGUUAACUGGUUGACUGAGUAACUAAGGAGCCUUUUUUUUUAAACACAGGGCUAGUUGUUGGAUAACUUUUUCCUCUUCAGAAAUGAAAUGAUAAUUUAAAAAGCGUAUUCUGUGUUUACUCAGUUUGUCUUUGUUCUCUAUUAAAUUUUGUUUUAAGAUUUGAAGCAUUUAAAUGUGACACAUAUAUAUAGAAAUAGAAGAAGUCAGGGAGAGAUAAAAAUCAGAGGGAAAAAUACUUUUUCCUUGCACUGUGGUAACAUUCAUAUGUAUUUAUUUUGAUGUAUACUACACUAAAUCUAUAAGCUUAUCUUAUUAAGAAUGGUAUGGUAAGACUGAGGUUGGUGUCUUAUCUGGAAGACAGCAUUGCCUAAAUCCACCAGUGUGUGUACCAAAAACCCCCCACUCAACAUCUGUCUUGUUCUUGCAGAUGUUGCAUGCUGCCAGUUAGGAUUGUCCUACAAUUGGGGUUUGCAGGCCACAGUUGGUUGGAUUUGAAUAUAGAGAAUAGGGAAAGACUUAGGUUCCAGUACUUUGGAUCUGAGCUGCCCUCUUGGGAACAUCGGUCCAAGAAAUUCCCCCUCCAUUUGGUGCUGUGGAGCUGGCACCUUGACUGGCAAGGUUGGCCUCCGCUCAUCGUCACCUCAAUGAGCAACACAGGUCCUUGGAGGCCUUUUCUUGUGAUUAUUCACAUGAAUUUGGCUUGAAGCAAGUGAAUGAAGAAGCCUAUCUCCAUCAGUUGCACUGCUGUGAGUUUUUCUAGCUGACGUCAGCGGUACACUAUACACAGGCGCUGGUUGAACUUGGGAUAAUGCUGGGGUUGUAAUCCCAUUCAUAAAACUGAAUUGCCAAUAUUUACCUGUGUUGCUUCAAUGCAGCCCAGGAUCAUUGGCGUCAGUUGUUUGUAGUCUGUAGCUUUGAUGAAAAAUCUCUAGCAUGUUUGCUUCUGGUGAGGUACGGCGCAGUAAUACACUUUACUCAGGUUGGUCUGUUUGAGAAUAUAGAGGAAGGUAUCAGCUUUUUAAGUAGAGUCCAAGCCAUGCACCUGCAACACUUACAUUUCUUUCCAAUGAGCAGGUAACAUAUUGUCGAUGAUUUUAACAACACUUCUGGGUGAUAUGCUGUUAGCAGGAGGGGAGAGGGAGAGCUUGUUCACAAUUUUGUGUGCUUCUGGGUCUAGCUACUGCUACUGAGGUUUGUUUACACAAAACCCACAAUAGCAGGUUUUCAGGUAAUAUUAAGAAAUUUCUUUUAUGUUCUCUGGCACCUACUAACACAGGUGAUUUCUUGAUUUACUUCCUUCUAAGCCUUUUAUUUGACUGGGCAGACCAGUAGGAUGGCAGACUCAUUGUCAAGGCAGGUUCUUCCUUCAGGGUAGUGUCAACUGCUUCAUGAUCUACAUGACCUAGUCUAUGAAUUAUAGGGCACUACAUGUUCCCACGUUCUUUCUCCAUGACAGAUCCCAGCCAGAAAGGACACUGUCUUGGGUUAAAUCUGUCCUCCACGCCCAGAUCGCCUUCAACUAUGGUGGUGGCUGUUAAGCAAGAGCCUUAAGGGCCAAAAUUGGCAUGCGGGAGUGUUACGUUCUGGGGUAUGUUCGUGUGUUUUUGUGUUUUGUUCUCUCCCCUUUUCUCUCGCCAUCCCUCUCUUUCUCACUCUCUCUGCAGCACUGCCUCAUUGGAUAACGUUCCUAUCCGUCUUGAGUAUCCCCGCUGAUGUCAUUUGCCGUGACCACCAAUCAACCUCUGACCCCGCCUAUUUAAAAACCACAGCCAUUCAUUCGUGAGGAGUUGUUCUGGCUGUUAACACGAAACCCAGUUGUACCUCUGCUUUCUUUAUAAUAGUUACACUGCCUUACUCUGUUUUCUUUGUUCUUGUAUGUCAUUUGGUCCGUGUUUCCCCACUUUGUUCUAGUCACUUGUUUUGUGUAGUUAAACUUAGUGUUCGUUACGCUGGUGUGUGACUAUGGUUAGUGUUGGGGCAAAGUGGACAGGUAAGUAAGUCACGUGACAUACAUUGUACAGCAUGUAGGAAUUCCGUUCUCUGUAUUAGACACAUUAGGUUAGGAGCGAGCACCACCCUCUGUACGUUUUGUUUGGAUAGAUAGAGUAGGUUAGUUAGCACGUCAUGGACGCUGAAGACUUAUUUUCUAUCUUUCAUUAUACUUAGGUUAGAGGGCUUGGAACUAGUUAGACUUGUUUUGUUUUGUUCAUUUCUUUGCUUUGGUGCCGCUCACGUCCCUUUUCCCCUUUUGUGUCUUGUUACUUGUUACUGUAAAUAAUUUGUAAAUACUAUCACUAUCACUUGGCACCACAAACACUGCCACUUGGAUAUAGAUAAAUAAAUCAUCUGGUUGAUUUGCACUACUUGUUGAUGGUCCCUGACUACACACAAUUUUUAAUAAUCAAAUAAGCGUUAUUCCUCACAUACCCCUAGACUAAUUGGGGUUGUAACAGAAGGUUAAACUCUGGCACAUAAUUAAAGAAAUUGUUGAUGGCAAUCCAUAUGAACCAUAUGAACAUUUAUUAUGAAUCUUAGCCAAGAUAAUUCAAAGAAUUAAUAUAAUUAAACAUUAAAUAAAAAUAUAAAAUCAAACUCUUUCAGAUGUGCAAAAAUCACAGCUCAGAAAUUAUUUUGAGUGCAAUUAAAUUAUUGGUGCAAAUAUGAUGGUUUCUUGUUGCCGAUAAUAGCACUCCAAAGACACAUUAAUGACCUAGGUAGUUACAUAUCUAGCUAUAUAACAGUGCAGAUUAAUCUUGCUAAUUACAUUCUUUCUAAUCACGGAAAAGGACUGUAAAUUAUGGACUAACAGAUGGUGGCAUUCAUUUUGAUAAUGAUUCCUGUCCCAAUGGGCCUCUGUUAGCACUUGUUGCAAUUCCCAUAUUUGACCUGUCCCAUAUUUUAUUGACUAGGUGCAAUUAAAAACUCUGGACUAUAUAGUUAAAUGGGGCAGUGAGCGUGCUGCACCACAACUGCGCAACAUCUAGAAAGGUAAGCAAAUCAAUGGAACAUUGGCCUAUCUUUCAAAAAUUGUUGGUCACUCAAGAGAGGGGAAUUGGUAUUUCAGUGGAAUUUGUGUAGUGUUGUAAAUGAGGACUUAACAAAGAUUAACAUAGGUUGAGUUGCUGAUAUACACUCACAGGUAUUAGGAACACCUGUACACCUGCUCAGGCGUUGAUGAGAGAGGUCACAGGAGAAUGGCCAGACUGGUUUGAGCUGACAGGAAGGCUACUGUAACAGAAAAGCAUAUUAGAAUGCACAACAUGGCUCCCUGACUUGCAGUCUAUCUAUAGUAAGUGGUGCUGGACCAAGGCCAGGAAGAUAGUGAAGGACCUCAGCCAUCCGAACAACGGACUCUUCUCUCUCUUCCGCUCCCUGAAGGCCGACACAGAGAGAAUGAGGAGGAGCUUCUUUCCAUAGGCCAUUCAGGCCCUCAGCCAGGACAACACCUAGGACUAGACCUUGGACUUGUUUGCACAACACCCACAACCUCAGCCUGAUGUUGCACAGAAUAUAUUGCACAAGCAACUGCACAUAUCUGUACCUUAUUCAAAAUACAGUUGUACUAUUUCUGCCACCGAUCUCUCUAUCCGUUAUAUCAUAUUUUCAUAUUUUUAUAUUUUUCCUUUCCGACCUGUAUAGAGGUAAAUUCUGGUUUAUGUACAUUCUAGUUUUAUGUCAUGGACAGUCGAAAAAAGCAUUUCAAUGCACGGCAUACUGUGUAUGGUUGUGUAUGUGACCAAUAAAAUUUGAAUUUGAAUAUAGUUCCUAGACAUUAUAAAUUUUUUUUUUAACAUUUGAAGACAUCUCAGGAGCUAUAUUAUAUGAUGAUAAACCAGAAGCACUUUGAGUGGGCGGUGGUGUUGCCUCAUUGCUAAAUAUAAAAAAAAAACAAGGUGAAUUAAAAUUGUUAGGUUUAACCAUCACAAGCAACAAAGGACACAAUCGUAACUGGGGAAAAGGAAGAGGGAAUUAAAUCAGAAAGUAUCUGACUACUUAUAUAAAACCUAGAUACAAAAUAAUUAAGACCUUCGACCUAUCUAAACUGUUAUUCUUAGCCACUGUCUUUCCACCUAACUACAAGUGUGUGUGUGUGUGUGUGUGUGUGUGUGUGCUUCAUCUGGGUAAAUAACAGACAGGUCACAAAAAGAGAACUGUUAUAUAAAUCUAAAUACCAGCAGGUCUUUUUUUUACAGAACUAGGAAAUAAACUAAAGAUUGCUUUCUGUAAAAAUGUGA